GCCUGCCUAGCUCAAUUGGUUAGAGCGUCAGACUCUUAAGAAUGCGAUAUCAGCAUUGUUAAGAUAUAUCUGAAGGCUGCGAGUUCGACCCUCGCGGUGGGUU